AAGCAAUUAAGUCUUGCUCAACGUUUCCCAUACCAGCGUAGGGAACUUUCUUGUCGUCUCCGUCCCCCGAACCAACACAAGCUUCCUUGUCGUCACUGUCUCCUGAGCAAGAAGCUCGAAAUCCGUGUAUGCAAAGAUAAAACAAGAAAUGAAUACAUCAGAUGAUAAUAUAAUAUUUCUAGCUGCAUAUAGACCAAAAACCAUAAGUAUGCUAUGAAGUGUCUAUCAAGAGUUCCACCCGAAUACAAC
rnacentral:lncRNA from 1 species